GUCAGUUCUCUGUGAUUUGCCUGAGAGAAAAAAAUGGUAUCUGUUCUUACCAGUUAAAUAUCUGACAUGUCCUCUAGCAAAGGACAAUCUAUUAAAGCAAUGUUUUGGAAAUACAAGGUGUAGUAGGCACUUGCUCUGUCUAUACCAUGGAUUGACCUGGUAUUGCAGCACCUCCAAGAACAAUGCACCCUCC
ensembl:snRNA LOC120096842 U2 spliceosomal RNA